CUUAACCAUCGAUAAGUAUUGUCGAUGUUUCACAAUCUACCUAGCACACAGCAUACGCAAUAAUUGCUUUAGAUUUUAGAUCAUCUUGGACGGAAUGAUCAGAUCGCGCAAUCGUUGACAACUUUUUCGUAAGCACAUCGAUGUUUUAAGUCAUGUUAACGUUUAGUUUGUGAUUACGCGAAGAAAUAAUACAUAAUAUGAACAUAUUGUAACAGCUGAGGAACAAAUGAUAUGUAUAAGAUAUUUAUACAAACCUUGCAUACCUAAUUAUUUAAUUAAUAUUAAUGUUAAAUCAAUAUUAAAAUCCCAGAGACAAAGAGACAAUUAGUUAGUAUGUAUGUACUAAUACCAAGAAUCUAUAGAAUAAGAUUUGGAUUUAAAUAUUGGAAGAUGUUUAUUAUACCAACGUGUCAGUAGACAAUUUAAAUUUCUAUCUGAAUGAUUAUAUAUAAAUCAACACAAUUUAUCACGCUAUAAAAAUAUACGAUAUAAAAGCAUAACAUGGCAGGGAAUGGGUCUAUCAUAAUACCAAACAUAAAACAAUUACAUGAGAAUGAUCAUGUAUCUACUACAAAUGUAGAUUACUCCAGCAUUAGAGGAAAGAAUGUUUUAGUUAGUCCAUCGGAGGAUCAAUACGAAUUGUUACUUAGACGCUUAAGAGAGAGAGUUCAAGAUGGUGGCAGUGAAACAAUUUUUGAUAUUGGUAUCGGCGAAGAUGGUUCAGAAGAUGGUUUAAAAGAAGAUGAAUACGAAGCAUCCGUUGCUACUUUACAGUCUCUUGCUGCAACGUUAGAAGCAGACUGUGUACUUCUGCGUCAAAGUAAAGUAGAUCAAGGUCUUAUAGGUCAAUAUCUGGUGCGGAGACGGUUAGAUAGGCAGGAUUUCCUAGAAAUCAGAGUGGCUGUUGUUGGCAAUGUUGAUGCUGGAAAAUCAACACUUUUGGGUGUAUUGACACACGGAGAGCUCGAUAAUGGUCGAGGCUUAGCGCGUCAAAAAUUAUUUCGACAUAAACACGAAGCCGAAACAGGACGUACUAGUUCCGUUGGAAACGAUAUUCUCGGAUUUGAUAGCGUUGGUAAUGUAGUAAAUAAACCAGAGCAUGGAUCCCUGGAUUGGGUUAAAAUAUGCGAGAAGUCGUCUAAAGUUAUUACAUUCAUUGAUCUUGCUGGACAUGAAAGAUAUUUAAAAACAACUGUUUUUGGAAUGACAGGACAUGCCCCUGACUUUGGUAUGUUAAUGGUUGGAGCAAAUGCUGGUAUUGUUGGAAUGACAAAGGAACAUCUAGGUUUAGCUUUAGCUCUAUCGGUUCCAGUAUUUGUUGUAGUUACGAAAAUUGACAUGUGUCCACCAAAUAUAUUACAAGAAAAUUUAAGGCUGUUAAUAAGGAUCUUAAAGUCCCCAGGUUGUAGGAAAGUACCCGUUACGGUAAAAACGCCUGAUGAUGUUGUCGUUAGCGCUACUAAUUUUGUAUCAGAACGAUUAUGUCCUAUUUUUCAAGUAUCGAACGUAACAGGAGAAAAUUUGAAUCUUCUCAAGAUGUUUCUAAAUUUAUUAACUGCAAGAAUGAUUAGUCAUGAAGAUGAACCAGCGGAAUUCCAAAUAGAUGAUACAUACUCAGUGCCAGGAGUUGGUACCGUAGUUUCUGGCACAACAUUGAAAGGUGUCAUUAAGCUAAACGACACUCUAUUAUUAGGACCUGAUCCUUUAGGUCGUUUUAUUCCAAUCGCAGUAAAAAGUAUACACAGGAAGAGAAUGCCUGUUCGUGAAGUGAGAGGUGGUCAAACUGCUAGUUUUGCAUUGAAAAAAAUUAAAAGAUCACAAAUUAGAAAAGGUAUGGUAAUGGUUGCACAAGCAUUAAAUCCUCAGGCUUCUUGGGAAUUUGAGGGGGAAAUUCUUGUACUACAUCAUCCUACAACAAUAAGUUCUUGUUACCAAGCAAUGGUACAUUGUGGAAGCAUAAGGCAGACAGCGUCCAUAAUUUCUAUGUCGCAAGAUUGUUUAAGAACAGGAGACAAAGCUUUAGUACGUUUUAGAUUUAUAAAGCAUCCCGAAUAUAUAAAACCAGGACAAAGAAUAGUAUUUAGAGAAGGGCGUACUAAAGCAGUGGGCAAUGUAGUGAAACUUAUUCCAUAUUCUAGUACCACAGUCAUACAAACAUGUAGAGCCAAUAAACCAAAUAAAACAUCUCAAAAUCGACAGAGCUCAUCAUCUACGAUGCAACCAUUAGAUGCAACCGAAACAAAUUCUUCAUUAGAAGGACAGACAUCAAAGCAAGAAAAUUUGCUUCAAAAAUCUAAUAAACGACAAAAUAAAAAAGGUAGAGGACGAAAAGGAGGACGAUCUCAUAAUACUGUAAAUAGUAUUAUUCAACCACUGUCAGAACAAAAUCCUCCUACAAAACUGUGAACUGUGUCUAUGUACAAAGCACUUAAACAUGUGUGUAUAUAUAUAUAUAUAUAUACAUAUAUAUAUAUAUAUAUAUACACAUAUAUAAAUAAAUAAAUAUACAUAUAUUUGUUUAUAUUUAUAUUUAUUUAUUUGUACAUAUAGGAUGAUAGAUUUCUUUCUGGACGAACUUAUACAGAUGAAUGAGACAUAUUUAUCUAUGAUAUGAAUAACUUGGUAAUUCGAAGCGAAAAAAUUCACUUUAAGAUAACAUUAAGUAAAUUUUAUAUGUUAAUUUCUCAAAUCUUAUUUGUAAUAAUCAUUUGAAUUUUUGCAAGAGGCAUUGGACUUGAUUUGUUUUCAAAUGAAUUUUUAUCGAAUAUAUGUUGAAGAUUUAAAUUAGUAUGUAUCAUCAAUGUCAUUUUUAAUUCAUUUUAUAAGUAAACAUAAUGUUACCAAUAUGAUUAAUGUGAUAUGAUAGUUGAAUCAUACGUAUUGUUGUAAUAGUUAGAAAAAAAGGAUGUGUAGUUUUGAUAAAUAAUUAAUGUGCAAUAAUGAUAAAUAGUAUUGAUACCAUAUGAGUAAAAUAUUAUUAAACGAAAGUUUACUAUUGAAUAAAGAGCAAGAUUUUGUAUUUUACGAUUUUGGAUUACGCUUUAAGAUUAAUUAGGAGUGACUGAAAAGUGUAAUGUAGAUUGUAUUUAAUAUUGUAAAUUUCUAUCUGAAAUUAUCUGUGCUAAAUUUUGUUUAAUUACUGAUUGACUUUCUGUUCAUAUUGAAGUAUAAGUAGGUGAUAAAUUAACUAUUAUAAAAUCAUCAAGCCAUUUAAGAAUUAUAACUCAGGAGUUUAAGUUCGUCCAGCAUGAAGUACUUUUUUUUUCUAACGGAUCACCGUAUUAUAAACUUCUUAGAGUAAAAAUAUUGAAACAAGAAACGAGUAGGUAUCGAAAUUUAGAAUAGCAUAAAGAGCCCGUGCACCACUCCGGAACAGAGUUUAAAGAAAAGUUUUCUAUCUGUUUCUUUUUCGCAAGCUGAAAAUUUGAUCUAUAAUGAUUGAAAGAUCGCGAUUAAUUUGUUUACAUGAACAAAUAGUUGGUCAGUUAUGUAAAUAUCUAUUUGCGUAUUUAUAUGCAUUAGUAAUUACUAAUAAUACGAUUAAACAGAAUAAGUAUUAUAAAUGCAUAGAUCAUUGUAAAGUCUAUUUUUAAUGUUCUUCACAAUAGAAGCAUUGUCAUUUGUAAUAUUUCAAUUGAACAUAAACUAAUUUAUGCACGA